AGCUCCAAUAGCGUAUAUUAAAGUUGCUGCAGUUAAAAAGCUCGUAGUUGCAUUUCCGAGGCAAGGGAUUAGUCCGACCUUUGGUGGGUAUUUAAUCCUCUUGCCUCGUCCUUGAGUGGUGCUUCUUGGUAUUAAGUUAUCGAGGAGAUAGCCGCUCAUCGUUUACUGUGAGAAAAUUAGAGUGUUCAAAGCAGGCUUAUGCCGUUGAAUAUAUUAGCAUGGAAUAAUAAGAUAGGACCUCGGUACUAUUUUGUUGGUUUUAGAACCAAGGUAAUGAUUAAUAGGGACAGUUGGGGGUAUUCGUAUUCAGUUGUCAGAGGUGAAAUUCUUAGAUUUACGGAAGACGAACUACUGCGAAAGCAUUUACCAAGGAUGUUUUCA
rnacentral:rRNA from 1 species